rfam:Phaethon lepturus contig74196, whole genome shotgun sequence.
GUGCAUGCUGGGCUAUAAUUUAUGAAACGGAGCCCAGGAAACAACCAAUGGCUUAGCUCCUCCUAACAAGUCCAACUGGAUAUGAAAAGCUGGAAGUGCUGCACAGAGAAAUGAAGAGGAGCUAUGCCACAUAUUAAUCUGCUUAUCGAGGAUUGCUUUCUGUGUAGAGAGGGAAGCAUGCAACAAGGAGAGAGGAAAAAAACAAAGAAAUAUUAUAGCUUCUCUGUUGAAACAUCAGAAUAAAUUUCAAUCAACAGGCGAAUCUUCCAUUGUAGUCAGAUAGC